ACCAGCCCACUCAACAAGAAAUCUGUUAAAAGAUGUGAAUGUAGCUUUAGGCAACUAUGGUCUUUCAUAGUUUUCACAAUUCCAAAGCGCGGUUUUGAAUGAGAGACAGAGAGAGCGGGAGAGAAAGCGAAGAGAGAAAUACUUAUUUAUCUAUAUAUCUCUCGCUGAACAUUUUAAUAACAUUCGAUACGGGUAGUAGCGAAAUGUCUUCUACCACACUAAGAGCGGCGGUGAAUUUUUGAAAACUUCAGUAUUCUUCAAACAAUUCUACAACUUUCCUCCUUUCCCUGACUCACACGCUCGCCAAGCUCAAUUAAUAUCGUCCGACGGGGUUUGAUCUCAGAAUCGACGGUCUUAUAAUUUGCAUUCGGCAGCUGUAACGGAAACAUACGAAUGUAGCCGAAGUGUGUGUUGGUAUAAUGGCUGACAGUGGACUGUACUCACGGACUACUACAGUGAUGUACAGGGAGUUUAAGUUUUCUUGAUAGAAUAUGGAAAUGUGAGCCAUGAGCUCGUGUGAACAAACGGAAGAUAAUAUAAGUGAUAGUGAGGUGGCUCAUUAUUACAAACCAGCCCAACAUCCUGCUAAGGAGUUAUUUGGGUUGGCAGCUCUACUUUAUGAAGGUGGUAGAAGAAAUGAUGGAUUGAAAGCAGCCGAUAUUGUUCCAAUUCUCAGAGAAAGAGUUGCAUAUCUUUCAGGUGGCCGAAAUAAGCAAGGUGGCCCAAUUUUGACAUUCCCUUCACACACUCAUCCUGAAAGAUUAAAAUAUGAAGAUUUACGACGACUCAUGACCUAUCUUGCCAGUGUGCCAAGUGAUGAUGUCCGAGAGCAAGGAUUUACCAUCAUUCUUGAUAUGAGAGGUUCCACAUGGCAAACAGUAAAACCUAUACUUAAAGCCUUGCAGGAAUGUUUUCCUGGCAAUAUUCAAAUGGCAUUCAUUAUCAAGCCUGAAAAAUUUUGGGAGAAGCAAAGAACCAGUUUGGGAAGUGCCAAGUACAACUUUGAAACCAAUAUGUUAUCAGUUGAUAAUCUUUCCAAAUUUAUCGAUUCAUCUCAGCUUACGAGAGAAUUUGAUGGUACUCUGGAUUAUGAUCAUGAACAGUGGAUUCAACUCCGACUGAUGUUGGAGGAAUUUAUCUGGAAAGCAUUAGACCUUCUAGACAAACUCGAUGAGUUAGCAGAAAUCCUGACAUGUCCGGAGUUACCUGAUGAUUUAAAUGGUGCCCAGAUUCAGUUAGAGCACCACAACCAGCUGAAGAAAAGAGUCACCAAAGCUCCAGUUGAACAAUUGACAAUGGAAGGGCAUCACAUUCUGAAGACAAUCACUGGAGAAGAAGAUAAUUUAUCUGGUGAUUAUUGCUCUAGUCAUAAACUCUUUGUGAUAUCUGGAAAUGCUGAUUUCCAGAGUGCUGUCCCUCAGAUUUCUCACCUUUUGGACAAUCUCCAGUCGACUAAGCAGCACCUAAAUCAGUUGUGGAUAAAUAAAAAAGCUCGACUUGAACAAUGUCUACAGCUGCGGGUAUUUGAGAAUGAUGUGGAGAAGAUGUUUGAAUGGAUUUCUCAUAACAGAGACAUGUUCCUAAUAAAUUACACAGAAAUUGGCCCAACCCAUCAAAUGGCAUUGGAUUUAGACCAAGAACAUAACCAAUUUGCUGCCAGUGCAAUGUGGUGCCUUCAGGACAUGUACAUGAAUAUUAACCGCAUCUUAAGUGUUGCUCAGCGGCUGUGUGAUACUGGUCAUUAUGGUGCCAAUGAAAUCCGCCAACAGGCCAGCAAACUGGAGAGGGAUUGGAAGACUUUAGCAGCAGCUGUUGAUGAUCGUAGCACUGUCCUUAGUAUGUCUGUGAUUUUUCAUAAACGUGCAGAACAGUAUCUUGCUCAAGUCCAUGAGUGGAGGCUAGCCUGUGAGAGUCCUCAGAUUCCAUCAUCCAUUAAAGACCUAGAGGAAGCCUUACAACAACACCAGACAUUAAUUGAAACCAUCAGCCAAGCCUAUGCUGAGGUAUGUGCUGAUGGGAAGGCAUUAUUGGAUACACUUCAAACGCCAGUUACUUCAAGUAGUAACAAUUCUAUUACAGCCAAGGCUGAUUAUUCAGAAGCAGCAGGACAUGUCCUAGAUGUUAUUCAUGAUGUUCUAGCUCAUCAACGUCAUUUAGAACAUCUGUGGCAUAACAAGAAAGUGAAGUUGCACCAGAGGUUAGGUUUGCGCUUGUUUCAGCAAGAUGUCAAACAGGUGAUUGAUUGGCUUGAUAACCAUGGUGAUGUUUUCCUGAAGAAAAAUACAUCUAUAGGAAAAACUUUGCAAAGGGCUAAAGCUUUACAAAAGAGCCACGAGCAUUUUGAAUCUGUUGGACAAAACACAAUAACAAAUGCUGAUAAACUACUAGCUGCUGCUGAUGAACUUGCUCAAACUGGUGAAUGUGAUCCCAAGGAAAUAUACAGUGAAGCCCAGGAACUUGAAGAGCGCAUGCAUGAUUUCAUCACUGCUCUAGAAAGGAGAAGGGCUAUACUUGAUAUGACUGUCUCAUUUUAUACACAUGUUCAUGAGUUAACAUCUUGGCUAGAAGAAUUGCAACAAGAACUGCAAAGUUCAGAAAUAGCUGAUACAGUGGAAGGAGCAGAGCACUUAGUAACACAGUUCAAUGAUCAAAGGGAGACAACUAUUGAAGCAGCUAUUAGUACGGUCAGAGAAGGAGAAAGUUUACUUGAACGGAUAAGACUUCAGCCGCUUGUUGGGUGCAGCCAGUGCUGUCACUUGCGCCACCAGCGAAUUGAUGUUUCUUCCACAAUGCACAAAGGUGGUUUUGGAAUGGAUCCAGAAAAAGUCAACCCAAAUUCUGAUUAUUGUCAUAUAGAAGGUGUUCUACAACAACUUAAUGAAAGUCGUGCACAGUUGGAGGAACUAUGGGCCACCCGCAAACGGAAAUUGGAUCUGUGCUUAAAAUUACGUCUUUUUGAAAGGGAUGCAUUAGAGGUAUCAUCACAAUUGGAGUUAUGGGCAGAAGAACUACAGCACAUGGAAAUGUGCAAUGAUCCAGCAAAAGCAGAACAGAUCUUACUGAUGCACACAGAAAAUUUAUUGCACAUGCAGAACUGUACAUUUGAAGUUCUGCAACGAGGUCAAGAGCUUUGUCAGUUGUUUGAAAACACAGGUGUGCAAUUAAUGGCUGAUUCACAAUAUGAUGCUCAGACUAGAAUCCAACUAUUGCUGGAAUAUUUGCAUGAACGAGAAUUGGAUUUAGAGAAUUUGGCUGAAAGUCGUCGCAUUCGUCUGGAGCAAUGUGUCCAGCUACGUAAUUUUGAGUAUGAAACCAGGCAGGUGGUUUCUUGGAUUCAAAAUGGAGAGACAAUGUUGACUGCCAGUUUUAUGUGUCCAGAUAAUUUAAUGGAAACUGAACAACUGAAGAAAGAACAUGAAAAGUUUAUGUUGGCUAUUGAGAAAACACAUGCAAAUGUGAUCCAAGUCACUCAAAAGGCAGAGAGCAUGAUCCAAAGCAACCAUUACAAUUCUGAAUUUGUACGUGUUAUCGCAGAAAAUAUGAAUUUAGUUUGGCAACAGCUAAUGUAUCAUGCUGAAGAACGUCACAAACUUGUAAUGGCAUCAAUGACUUGGUAUAAAACAGCUGAACAAGUUUGGUCAGUUUUAGAAAGUUUAGAUCGAGAUUAUAAACGAGAUGAAGAUUGGUGUAGCACAGACAAGGCUAACUGCACUGACAAAGCUGCAUUCUUAGUACAAGCAAUCAAUAAGCAUAAUGAACAAAAGGAAGCCUUUCUUAAGGCUUGCACUUUAGCCAGACGUACAGCAGAGACAUUCUUAAAAUAUGUCAACCGCAACCUUCACACUUUGGGAAUGGAUGUGAAGUACAGAAAUCCAGAAUCUCAUGUAAAAGCAACUCUUGAUCAAUUACUACAACAGGAAAAUGCUGUAAUUGAAUAUUGGACUGUAAAGAAACGAAAGUUAGAACAUUGUCAUCAGUAUGUCCUUUUUGAACAAAGUGCCAAACAGGCAUUAGACUGGAUCCAUGAUUCAGGCGAGGCAUACUUGUCAACACACACGUCUGUUGGUGAAACCAGAGAAGAAACAGAGUCACUGUUAAGAGAAUACUAUGAGUUUCGUGGCAGGGCCAAGGAAACUAAAGAAAAUGUCAGUCUUUUGCUUCAACUGGCUGAUGGUUUUGUUUCUAAAGGCACAUUUCAUGCCAGCAGCAUCAUGGCAUGGUGUGCUGCUGUAGAUAAACGAUAUAAAGACUUCUCUUCUCGCAUGGAGAAAUACAGACAAAAACUAGAAGGCAAACUCGGUGUCACAAAUGAAACUGAGAAAGAAGACAGGCAAAGUGAUCCUUCAAUUGAAGAAAAACUUCAACAGCAUGCUCCUAAGGAACUUACUGAAGAAAAAAGAAAGUCUGCUAGACGACGAGAAUUUAUCAUGGCUGAAUUACUACAAACUGAGAGAUCAUAUGUGAAAGAUUUAGAAACUUGUAUGAAGUAUUACAUGGGUGAAAUGUUAAAUCAACAAAAUAAUAUUCCACCUGGCAUUGAAAACAAAACUGAUACAAUAUUUAGUAAUAUUAGAGAAAUAUAUGAAUUCCAUGACAAAACAUUCUUAAAAGAGUUAGAAAAAUAUGAGACUAUUCCGGAAGAUGUUGGGCAUUGUUUUGUCACAUGGGCAGAAAAGUUUUCUAUAUAUGUACUAUACUGCAAAAACAAGCCAGAUUCAAGUCAGCUUCUUAUGGAACAUGCUGGGACUUUCUUCGAGGAAAUACAACAAAAACAUAAACUGAGUGAACCAUUAUCAUCGUAUUUGAUCAAACCAGUUCAAAGGAUCACGAAAUAUCGAUUGCUUCUAAAGGAUUUGCUUUCCUGUUGUGAAAAUGAUACUGGAGAAAUUAAGGACGGGCUCGAUGUAAUGGUGAAUGUGCCAAAGAAAGCUAAUGAUGCCAUGCAUUUAAGCAUGCUAGAAGGUUUAGAGGAUAAUUUAGAAGCUUUAGGUGAAGUACUUUUACAAGAUAACUUCACAGUCUGGGAACCAAAGAACUUGAUAAAGAAAGGAAGAGAGAGACGUAUCUUCUUAUUUGAGAUGUGUCUCGUCUUUGCUAAAGAAAUUAAAGACAGUAAUGGAAAAUCAAAAUAUAUGUAUAAAACCAAGUUACUUAUUUCAGAAAUCAACAUCACUGAACAUAUAGAAGGUGAUGAAUGCAAGUUUGCACUUUGGACAGGAAGAGCACCAAUUUCUGAUUACAGAAUAAUUUUGAAGGCAUCAUCACUGGAUACAAAACAGCAGUGGGUGAAGAAGAUGAGAGAGUUAAUCCAAGAACGUCUCGUCUAUAUGCACUCUGCCUUGAAAGAACCUCUAACAAAAUCUGUCGCAGCACCAAAGAUGUUUGUUAACAGAACAAGUCGGGAUAUGGAAAGUGACACAGCAUCUCUAGAUGAAGUCCAUAUUGAACGUCGCGCUAGUCUGGUGUCAGUAAACUCCAACACCACCACUGCCACAACAGACAGUAGCAGUAGCAGUGGCAGCAGCAACAGAUGUUCUUCAGAUGUUACAGUUGUCAUUGUUGACUAUUCAGCUACAUCUACAUGGGACCUGAGUGUUCAGAAGGGUCAGCAAGUAGAACUAAUAGAUGUUUGCCCUCCUGGACAGCCGGAAUGGUGCCUUGUGCGUACAUUACCUACCGAGGUGAAAGAGUCUAGUCAAGGUCUUGUUCCAAUGUCUGCACUUAAACCGGUUCCAAUUUUGAAAGUAUCAUCUGCUGCAGGGACGCGCACAAGUGCCGACUUAGAUGAUUCCUCCAGUAAUUCCAAUGAGCCAAGUCCAAAUGCUUCAAAUGCUUCACUUAAUAAUUCUUCAGCAUCCCCCGUUACCAAAAGACGCAGUAGUUUCCGGAUGCCAAAAUUCAAAACCAGGACCAUGCCUACUUCAGCAAAACCGACAAGGAAAUGGUUGAUAGAUCCAGUUCGUAAAUUAAGUCACAGCAAAAUAGAGAAAGGUGGUCUGGAGAAACACACAGUACCACCAUUUGAACUGAAAGCUGACAGAAUACAGAAGAAAACUGUUGCUAACCUCUCCGCUAUGAAGGAGGCCUCUGAUAGCACAGAACUAAUCCAACCUCAAAUCGCCAUGGUUACCCAGAAGUCUGCUCUUGAAGUUACAAGUGAAGAGGAUCCAGAAUCAGCAUAUGAUAUUGAAAUGCCACCUCCAAUGGCAAUCCAGGAGCACACAUUUGCUGCAACCCAGCCUUCAACAUCAGAUGAAAGCCAUACAAAGCUAGCCUCAACACUUUCUCUGAAGGCACAAACAGAUGCUGCAACAGCAGCAGCUAGUGCUGUAGACUUGGCUACAGCACUAGAAAACAUUGUCAAACAGAAGAUGGAACAAACUGAGCCUGGUUCAACAUCAGCUUCUUCAUCAUUAACUCAAGCUAGUACCACUACUACUAAUACUACAACUAGCACAACUGCUGGAAGUGGAGAUCAAGCAGAAACAACAGAAGAGCAGACAAAGGGUUCGAGUGGUGGUGGAGGAGGAGGAGGCAGCAGCAGCAGCGGAGAUGUAGCAAAUAAAGAAAAAUAUAUUCUUAAAAGAAAUUAUGUGAUAAAAGAGUUGGUUGAAACUGAGAGGGACUAUGUUAAAGACCUUGGUCUUAUUAUUGAGGGCUACAUGGGCUACCUUAAAGAGAAUCCAUUGAGAGACGGCAUGGAAGGAAAAGAUAAGAUAAUAUUUGGUAAUAUUCAUCAGAUAUAUGAUUGGCAUCGAGAAAUAUUUCAACCUGAAUUAGAAAAAUGUAUAGAAGAACCUGAUAAGCUAGGAUCUGUGUUUGUAAGAUAUGAAAGACGGUUGUAUAUGUAUGUAAAAUAUUGUGAAAACAAACCAAAAUCUGAUUUUUUAGUUGCAGAAUAUAUAGAUUCAUUUUUUGAGGACAUCAGACAAAAAUUAGGUCAUCGACUUCAGCUUCAAGACCUGCUUAUCAAACCUGUUCAAAGAAUUAUGAAAUAUCAGCUUUUAUUAAAGGAUAUUUUAACACAUACUCAGAAAGCUGGUUUGGAUACUGCUGACAUACAGAAGGCUGUGACUGUGAUGUGUGUUGUACCAAAAGCUGCAAAUGAUAUGAUGCAGGUUGGCCGCCUACAAGGGUUUGAUGGUAAAUUAACUGCACAAGGAAAGUUAUUACUUCAGGAAACCCUGCUGGUUGGUGAAGUCACAGAAGGUAGUCACUCCAAAUUUAGAGAAAGACGAGUGUUUCUUUUUGAACAGAUCAUAAUUUUUAGUGAAGUGAUUGAGGACAAGAAAAGGGGCAGUUUUUCUGAUGCCAAUUAUAUUUAUAAAAACAGUGUAACGGUUAAUAAAAUGUCUAUGAAUGAAAAUGCAGAAGGAGAUGAUUUAAAAUUUAUUCUUAUCGAUAGAACACCUGAUAGUAAUAUGAAAUAUAUUAUUCAAGCACCUACAGAAGAAAUCAGAGAUGAGUGGAUUGCUCAAAUCCGUUCUAUAUUAGAUAUGCAGGGCGAUUUCCUACGAGCUCUUCAAUCACCAAUUGCCUAUCAGAAAGAACGGACAAAAGAGCUAUCAACACCUGAUUUUGGAACACUUGCUAAAGAAGCUCUCUUAAAGAAUUCUGGUAAAGCCCAAGCCAAAUUAAACCACUUACAAACUGCGCACACUAUUCCAUCUAGUGGUAUUAGUUCAAAGAAUAAAUCCGGCCGAUUAGAGACAUCCAAACAUGCAAGAUGUCGAUCUGUACCAGGUCCCUGGCCAACAGAUGUCACUCAUUUAGAGGACCAACUCGAAACACGGGAAAACCAAUUUUCUUGCCCAAAUUCGCCAUUAGAUUCUAAACAAACGACACAUGAUUCAAAAAAACCUACAGACUUGAAGAAAAUUCCAUCGUCUUCUUCAUCUCCAACAAACAGUCAGGUGGGAUCUCCAAAACCAAAGAAAACAAUUUUUGAAGGAUUCCGAAAUACUUUACGAAAGUCAAAAGGAGAUCUUUCUGGGACAAAAUCAUCUGAAAGUUUCACUAAUGCUCAUUCGAUGCCUGAUAUUGUACAAGAAAAUAAAGAAAGAUCUAACAGUGAUUCUAUAAGUUCAAAAACCAUUGGAAUGGACAUUAGCCAAUCAGAUUUAGAAACAAUUCCGAGUGGUGGUGAUGGUGGCAACUAUUCAUUAGCCAGGGUAAUUGCUGACUACAGUGCUAUCAAGGAAGAUGAAAUCUCCGUUAACAAAGGAGAGAAAGUUCAAAUCUUAACAACAAACCAAAAUAAUAUGUUUCUUGUCCACAGAGCAGCUAAUGAGGUUUCACCAGCAGCUGAAGGAUGGAUUCCAGGAGUUGUCUUAGGCUCAGUUGAUGAAGGUGGAAGUCUCAAGUUAAAAAACAUCAUGGCAAAUGUUCAAGUUACGUAAAUCUAGUUUGAAGAGAGAAUCUGACAGCAAAAAUACUUUGGAACGGAAAAGUAGGAGUUUGGGUCGAGAUGGCAAACUACCAUCAUCAACAUCAAAAAUGAGUAGUUCUGAUUUUAUUUAUGAAGUUGCACCAACCAUUCAGCAGGCUCUCGCCGAUAUAACAGUAAACGCAGGAGAAGAGGCUGUGUUAACUUGUCGUAUCUGUGGUCGCCCCAGACCAACUAUCACUUGGAAGUC
rnacentral:misc_RNA from 1 species